rnacentral:rRNA from 1 species
CCGGUAGUCCUGGCCGUAAACGAUGGGUACUAGGUGUAGGAGGUAUCGACCCCUUCUGUGCCGCAGUUAACGCAAUAAGUACCCCGCCUGGGGAGUACGACCGCAAGGUUGAAACUCAAAGGAAUUGACGGGGGCCCGCACAAGCGGUGGAGUAUGUGGUUUAAUUCGACGCAACGCGAAGAACCUUACCAGGUCUUGACAUUGAUGGACAGAACUAGAGAUAGUUCCUCUUCUUCGGAAGCCAGAAAACAGGUGGUGCACGGUUGUCGUCAGCUCGUGUCGUGAGAUGUUGGGUUAAGUCCCGCAACGAGCGCAACCCCUAUCUUAUGUUGCCAGCACGUAAUGGUGGGAACUCAUGAGAGACUGCCGCAGACAAUGCGGAGGAUGGCGGGGAUGACGUCAAAUCAUCAUGCCCCUUAUGACCUGGCUACACACGUACUACAAUGGGCUUUAAUAAAGGGAAGCGAAGUCGCGAGGCGGAGCAAACCCCAGAAACAAGCUCUCAGUUCGGAUCGUAGGCUGCAACUCGCCUACGUGAAGUCGGAAUCGCUAGUAAUCGCAGGUCAGCAUACUGCGGUGAAUACGUUCCCGGGCCUUGUACACACCGCCCGUCACACCACGAAAGUCGGAAGUGCCCAAAGCCGGUGGGGUAACCUUCGGGAGCCAGCCGUCUAAGGUAAAGUCGAUGAUUGGGGUGAAGGCGUAACAAGGUAGAGCUCUCAGUCAGUCAAAUCGAAUUCCC